rnacentral:rRNA from 1 species
GCCAGCAGUUAUAUCGCCCUGCAACUCACAAAUGGCAAUUUGUUGGUGUUAAGCAGGUGUGAGCCUGGCCAGUAGCUGGAUGGGAGACCUUUUAGGGAAGUUAAGGUUGCUGCUGAAA